rnacentral:rRNA from 1 species
GCUACUGAUCUUAGCGGCGGACGGGUGAGUAAUGCUUAGGAAUCUGCCUAUUAGUGGGGGACAACAUUUCGAAAGGAAUGCUAAUACCGCAUACGUCCUACGGGAGAAAGCAGGGGAUCUUCGGACCUUGCGCUAAUAGAUGAGCCUAAGUCGGAUUAGCUAGUUGGUGGGGUAAAGGCCUACCAAGGCGACGAUCUGUAGCGGGUCUGAGAGGAUGAUCCGCCACACUGGGACUGAGACACGGCCCAGACUCCUACGGGAGGCAGCAGUGGGGAAUAUUGGACAAUGGGCGCAAGCCUGAUCCAGCCAUGCCGCGUGUGUGAAGAAGGCCUUAUGGUUGUAAAGCACUUUAAGCGAGGAGGAGGCUACUUUAGUUAAUACCUAGAGAUAGUGGACGUUACUCGCAGAAUAAGCACCGGCUAACUCUGUGCCAGCAGCCGCGGUAAUACAGAGGGUGCAAGCGUUAAUCGGAUUUACUGGGCGUAAAGCGCGCGUAGGCGGCUAAUUAAGUCAAAUGUGAAAUCCCCGAGCUUAACUUGGGAAUUGCAUUCGAUACUGGUUAGCUAGAGUGUGGGAGAGGAUGGUAGAAUUCCAGGUGUAGC